rnacentral:lncRNA from 1 species
GUAGUCCCACUUACUCAGGAGUCUGAGAUAGGAGAAUCUCUUGAACCUGGGAGGAAGAGGUUGCAGUGAGCCGAGAUCACACCACUGCACUCCAGCCUGGGUGACAGAGUGAGACUCUGUCUCAAAAAAAAAAAAAACAAAAGAAAUUUGCAGAUAAUAUCUUGGACCAGAUUUCCCUGAGAGAAGGAGGGUAAAGGGCCUGGAAAACUAUAUAAGAAAUGUGUUCACUUAGAACCACCCAGCACUUUGGAGGCCAAGGCGGGCUGAUCACGAGGUCAGGAGUUCGAGACCAGCCUGGCCCACAUGGUGAAACCCACCUCCACUAAAAAUACAAAAAUUAGCCAGGCGUGGUAACCUGCGC